AUGGCGAAGAAGGUUAACGGUGAGUGGGCGGUGGAGACAGAGAUGAUGAAAUGUGCACCCUCGACGUCGGCCGGAAAGGCGGCGCAGCAGUCCAUCUACCGGGUGCCGGAGUGGGCGAAGAACACCAACAACACGAAGGCCUACCAGCCGCAGGUGAUGGCGCUGGGGCCAUUCCACCACGGCGCCCCCAACCUGGUGCCCAUGGAGGAGCACAAGGUCCGGGCGGUGGUCCGCCGCCUUACAAAGAGCCGGAAAACGGCGCAAGCUUACAAGGACGCCAUUAACGGGGUGGCCGAGCGACUGCUGGCGGCAUACGGCAAGGAUCCACGUAAGGAGUGGCCCGCGGCAAAUAAUAGGAAAAGCUUCGUGGAGAUGAUGGUCAGGGACGGCUGCUUCCUGCUAGAGCUCAUCAGUUUGGGUUUGACACCGCCGCCCGACGACGACGGCGGCGACCUAUUCUUCAACGCCCACAACUACAUGUACAUGCGGGGGGCUAUCAUCUCCGACGUGCUCGCCAUGGAGAACCAGCUGCCUAUGCUCCUUCUCCAGACGCUUCUUCGUGUUGACUAUGGCACAACUCCGAACGCCCACACAGAUGGGGAUGUAGGCGUAGAGGACCAAACAGAUGAAAAAAUCAAUCUCCGGAUGCUUCGUUUUCUAGGCCGGCAGUGGCGCCCCGAAUGGGUCCGCCCGCUUGGGCUCCACCCCCUCCACCUUUAUCAUUCAAGUCUCACCUAUGGAGGCCCUGGGGAGCCUGAGGGACAGGGUUCUAUGGAGGAGAUCAUGCCCUCCGCGGUGGAGAUACACGAGGCGGGAGUCCAUUUCCACAAGAGCGAAACGGACAGCCUUCUGGAUGUCCAUUUCAAGCACGGCGGCAUGCUCUCCAUGCCGGCGCUCAUGGUGGAUGACACCUUUGAGGGCAUUUUCCUCAACCUUCUGGCAUUUGAGCAUCUACAUGCCCCCGCCGGCAACACCGUCACGGCCUACGUCUUCUUUAUGGACAACAUCAUCGACACAGCCGAGGACGUAAGCCUACUCAAAGCCAAGGGAAUCUUCAACAACUAUUUGGGCAGUGACGACGCGCUGGCCAAGCUCAUCAAUGAUACUCUAUCCAAGGGGGUAGUGAUGAGCCCCUGCAGUGUCAUCAACAAAGUACAACAUGAGGUGAAGAAGCACUGCAAGAAGCCAUGGAACAAGUGGCGGGCCAACUUUAUGCACACCUACUUGAGGAACCCCUGGGUGUUCAUCUCACUCGUCGCUGCCUCCAUUCUGCUCUUGGCCACUGUCCUGCAGACUGGCUACACCGUCGCGGCCUUCUACCAGGCAUCAGCUACUCGGUCACCAGACAUCAACUAG
rnacentral:rRNA from 1 species